rnacentral:pre_miRNA from 1 species
AAGAAGAUCUCGUGCUGUGACUCUGCAAAGGGAAGCCCUUUCUGUUGUCUAAAAGAAUAGAAAGCGCUUCCCUUUGGAGUGUUACGGUUUGAGAAAA